AGUGAACGCUGGCGGUAGGCCUAACACAUGCAAGUCGAACGGCAGCACAGUAAGAGCUUGCUCUUACGGGUGGCGAGUGGCGGACGGGUGAGGAAUACAUCGGAAUCUACUUUUUCGUGGGGGAUAACGUAGGGAAACUUACGCUAAUACCGCAUACGACCUACGGGUGAAAGCAGGGGAUCUUCGGACCUUGCGCGAUUGAAUGAGCCGAUGUCGGAUUAGCUAGUUGGCGGGGUAAAGGCCCACCAAGGCGACGAUCCGUAGCUGGUCUGAGAGGAUGAUCAGCCACACUGGAACUGAGACACGGUCCAGACUCCUACGGGAGGCAGCAGUGGGGAAUAUUGGACAAUGGGCGCAAGCCUGAUCCAGCCAUACCGCGUGGGUGAAGAAGGCCUUCGGGUGGAAAAGCCCUUUUGUUGGGAAAGAAAAGCAGCAGGUUAAUACCCCGCUGUUCUGACGGUACCCAAAGAAUAAGCACCGGCUAACUUCGUG
rnacentral:rRNA from 1 species